GUGAGGAAUAUUGCGCAAUGGAGGCAACUCUGACGCAGCCAUGCCGCGUGCAGGAAGAAGGCGCUACGCGUUAUAAACUGCUUUUAACCGGGAAGAAACCCCAGGACGUGUCCUGGGUUGACGGUACCGGAGGAAUAAGCACCGGCUAACUUCGUGCCAGCAGCCGCGGUAAUACGAAGGGUGCAAGCGUUAUCCGGAUUCAUUGGGUUUAAAGGGUGCGUAGGCGGAGCGUUAAGUCAGUGGUGAAAUCCUGCAGCUUAACUGUAGACUUGCCAUUGAUACUGGCGCUCUUGAGUGCGCUUGAAGUGGUCGGAAUGUGUCGUGUAGCGGUGAAAUGCUUAGAUAUGGCACAGAACACCAAUUGCGAAGGCAGCUCACUAAGGCGAUACUGACGCUGAGGCACGAAAGCGUGGGGAUCGAACAGGAUUAGAAACCCUUGUAGUCC
rnacentral:rRNA from 1 species